rnacentral:rRNA from 1 species
GUCCUUCGGGAUGAGUAGAGUGGCGGACGGGUGAGUAACGCGUAGGAAUCUGUCCGGUAGUGGGGGAUAACGUUCCGAAAGGAACGCUAAUACCGCAUACGCCCUACGGGGGAAAGCGGGGGAUCUUCGGACCUCGCGCUAUCAGAGGAGCCUGCGUCGGAUUAGCUAGUUGGUAGGGUAAAGGCCUACCAAGGCGACGAUCCGUAGCUGGUCUGAGAGGAUGAUCAGCCACACCGGAACUGAGACACGGUCCGGACUCCUACGGGAGGCAGCAGUGGGGAAUAUUGCGCAAUGGGGGCAACCCUGACGCAGCCAUGCCGCGUGAGUGGAGGAGGCCUUCGGGUUGUAAAGCACUUUCAGAGGGGAGGAAAGGGCGCUGGCUAAUAUCCAGCGCAGUUGACGCUACCCUCAGAAGAAGCACCGGCUAAUUCCGUGCCAGCAGCCGCGGUAAUA